GCCCCUUCUCCUUCCUCUCUGGUUUCUCUCAGUUUUCUCCGAGUCGUCCGCCUCCCUCUGCCAUUUUCCUCCGUUUUCCUCCCAAAAAGCUCGGUUUUAAGCCUCAAAAUUGCCAAGGGUGAAGGGAUUUCUGUGUAUUUGUUGAAGGUUGGGUAUUCGGUUUUUGUUGGACUAAAGAGAUUGCUAGCAAGAUAUUGAAGGCAUUGGACACACACGUGGAUUAAUUUGACCGUCAGAUAUCCCAGCUGAUUGUGAACGAGCGCCUCCAAAUAAACGUGGACGCCAUAAAGGAUUGAACACGCGGGAAAAGAGGGAACAGUUGGG